ensembl:lncRNA
AUCCAGAACACCAGAACGGAUCCUUCCCCUCACUGUGAUGCAUCCAGAACAACCAGAACGGAUCCUUCCCCUCACUCUGAUACAUCCAGAACACCCAGAAUGGAUCCUUCCCCUCACUGUGAUGCAUCCAGAACACCCAGAACUUUAUGUCCAAUCUUCAAAAACAAAGAAGACAACAGCUGCCAUUGUUUGUUUUAGCAUGUUGUAGAACAAGCACUGUUCUGAAUGAUAUCAAUUAUAUUUUCUUGUGAUAGAUUCACGUUAAUACAGAAUAAUACAGGUAGAUUACUGGUAAAUAAAUACAGAAUAAUACAGGUAGCCUACUGGCAAAUGAAUACAGAAUAAUACAGGUAGCCUACUGGUAAAUGAAUACAGAAUAAUACAGGUAGCCUACUGGCAAAUGAAUACAGAAUAAUACAGGUAGCCUACUGGUAAAUGAAUACAGAAUAAUACAGGUAGCCUACUGGUAAAUUAAUACUGGUAGCCUACUGGUAAAUGAAUACAGAAUAAUACAGGUAGCCUACUGGUAAAUUAAUACAGAAUAAUACAGGUAGCCUACUGGUAAAUUAAAGUGUAUCUAUUUGAAAAAGCAGGAGAAGGCUCAAUGUUCAAGACUGUGUUGUGAAUGAUGCUUAUAUUUUUCUCGUUGUGUUUUGUUGGCCUGGGCAUAGCUGGCUAUUGGGCAAUUUGCAUGUAAGUGUAGUACUGUAUUGUACAUUAGGUGAGUUGCUGUUUUUAAUAUUAUAUGAUGAUGUUUAACAAUGAUAAUUAAAUCCAGAAUAGUGGCACUUGGAGUUGUGUACUAUUUUCCAGAUACAUUUAACAUUAGUGUGUACAAUAUUGCCUGUGUGUAUGGUCUGUUUGCUGGGUUAGAGAGGGAAGUAUACUACAGUAAUGGUGUGUAUGGUCUGUUUGCUGGGUUAGAGAGGGAAGUAUACUACAGUAAUGGUUUGUAUGGUCUGUUUGCUGGGUUAGAGAGGGAAGUAUACUACAGUAAUGGUUUGUAUGGUCUGUUUGCUGGGUUAGAGAGGGAAGUAUACUACAGUAAUGGUUUGUAUGGUCUGUUUGCUGGGUUAGAGAGGGAAGUAUACUACAGUAAUGGUUUGUAUGGUCUGUUUGCUGGGUUAGAGAGGGAAGUAUACUACAGUAAUGGUUUGUAUGGUCUGUUUGCUGGGAGAGAGAGGGAAGUAUACUACAGUAAUGGUUUGUAUGGUCUGUUUGCUGGGAGAGAGAGGGAAGUAUACUACAGUACUCAUAAAAUUUGAUUUGAUUUGAUUGUGGUAAACAAACUGGUUAUCUAAAACUAGAACUCCUUGAAAAUAUUCCAGCUGUAUUCAGAUCCAUCAAUGGACAGAUGAGAGAGUCGUUGUGUAAAUGUUGUGUAGGGGAGUGGCUCGUGGGGCUUUGGUCAAAAGUAGUGCACUAUAUAGGGAAUAGGGUUCCAUAGGACUCUGGUCUAAAGUAGUGCACUAUAUAGGGAAUAGGGUUCCAUAGGACUCUGGUCUAAAGUAGUGCACUAUAUAGGGAAUAGGGUUCCAUUUGGAACGUAGGUGUAAUGAAGUGAAAGCAGCGUGUGCUCCAGUUGAGAGUUUAGGUCACCAUAGAAACGCAUUCAUUCAUUCAGGAGUGGUUGGGUGGGUGGGAUAUCUCAAUCAGCGUCCACCUGACAGAACAAACAUGGUUUAGUCAUCAACAUCUGGUGUGUUGCCCUACAUCGCCUGGAUACAGAAAGGAAACAACAAACUGCUACGGUACAAAACAGAUACAUUCACUUUAUUUUCUGUUUCGUGACAGGAUCUCUGAGUCUGAUAUGACCUCGAUACAUCUUGGGGGAUUUCCUGUAAGCAGAUGAUAAAACCAUGCGCUGAUCUAAUUGGAUAAAAAUAAUCAAAUUAAAAAAACACUUGACAGGACGUUCAUUGGAUGUUGGAGAAAAACUCUAUAUUGUGUCAGAUGCUGUCUUUAUGUUACUGACAAAACGCUCAGAAUGCAUAUAGAAUCUCAAGGCCAUCAGAAUGUUAUACAGCCAUCACUAACUAAGAGAGGCAGCUGCCUACAUACAGACUAAUCGGCCACUUUAAAAAAUGGAUCACUAGUCACUUUAAUAAUGCCACUUUAAUAGUGUUUACAUAUCUUGCAUUACUCAUCUCAUAUGUAUAUAUUGUAUUUUAUACCGCCUAUUGCAUCUUGCCUGUGCUGCUCUGUCAUUGCUCAUCCAUAUACAGUAUUUAUAUGUAUAUAUUCUUAUUCCAUUCCUUUACUUAGAUUUGUGUGUAUUAGGUAGUUGUUGUGGAAUUGUUAGAUUCCCUGUUAGAUAUUACUGCACUGUCGGAACUAGAAGCACAAUCAUUUCAUUACACUCGCAAUAUCUGCUAACCAUGUGUAUGUGACCAAUACAUUUUGAUUUGAUUUGAAUGGUUUAGUUUAGUUGAUGAGGAGCAACAUUAGCCGCUGUACAUGCAGAAGCCCUUCCUGUGGUCCACAAAUAGAACUGAACAGAAAUACAAAAAAAAAGUUCACACUUUUUUAGCUGAGCUCUGAAACUAAAAUGUGUGAUAAAUAUCAACAUAGUUAGAAGAGGACCAGCUACCCCCCUAGAGGAGGACCAGCUACCCCCUAGAGGAGGACCAGCUACCCUCUAGAGGAGGACCAGCUACCCCCUAGAGGAGGACCAGCUACCCCCUAGAGGAGGACCAGCUACCUCCCUAGAGGAGGACCAGCUACCCCCUAGAGGAGGACCAGCUACCUCACCAGAGGAGGACCAGCUACCCCCUAGAGGAGAACCAGCUACCUCCCUUAGAGGAGAACCAGCUACCUCCCUAGAGGAGGACCAGCUACCCCCUAGAGGAGAACCAGCUACCUC